AUGCGAUAAGUAAUGUGAAUUGCAGAAUUCAGUGAAUCAUCGAAUCUUUGAACGCACCUUGCGCCCGUUGGUAUUCCGACGGGCAUGCCUGUUUGAGUGUCGUGAACAACCUCAACCUUGAUUGGUUUUACCAUCAAGGCUUGGACUUGGGUGUUGCUGCUGCAAAGUGGCUCGCCUUAAAACUAUUAGCUGGACUUGUCUAUGACUUGGUUCGACUCGAUGUAAUAAGUAUUCAUCGGGGACAGGGUUAAACCUGGCCAAGGCUUGAUGCCGUCUGCUUCUAAUCAUGUUCUCACUAUGAGACGCUACUUUACUGUGUGGCCUCAAAUCAGGUAGGAUUACCCGCUGAACUUAA
rnacentral:misc_RNA from 1 species